rnacentral:misc_RNA from 1 species
GAUGAAGAACGUAGCGAAAUGCGAUAAGUAAUGUGAAUUGCAGAAUUCAGUGAAUCAUCGAAUCUUUGAACGCACAUUGCGCCCCUUGGUAUUCUGAGGGGCAUGCCUGUUCGAGCGUCAUUAUAACCCCUCAAGCUCAGCUUGGUGUUGGGGCCUGCUGCACUGGCAGCCCUUAAAAUCAGUGGCGGCGCCAUCUGGCUCUAAGCGUAGUAAUUCUUCUCGCUAUGGAGUCCUGGUGGAUGCUUGCCAUCAACCCCCAAUUUUUCUAUGGUUGACCUCGGAUCAGGUAGGGAUACCCGCUGAACUUAAGCAUAUCAAUAAGCGGAGGA